AGUGAACGCUGGCGGUAGGCCUAACACAUGCAAGUCGAACGGCAGCACAGUAAGAGCUUGCUCUUACGGGUGGCGAGUGGCGGACGGGUGAGGAAUACAUCGGAAUCUACUUUUUCGUGGGGGAUAACGUAGGGAAACUUACGCUAAUACCGCAUACGACCUACGCGUGAAAGCAGGGGAUCUUCGGACCUUGCGCGAUUGAAUGAGCCGAUGUCGGAUUAGCUAGUUGGCGGGGUAAAGGCCCACCAAGGCGACGAUCCGUAGCUGGUCUGAGAGGAUGAUCAGCCACACUGGAACUGAGACACGGUCCAGACUCCUACGGGAGGCAGCAGUGGGGAAUAUUGGACAAUGGGCGCAAGCCUGAUCCAGCCAUACCGCGUGGGUGAAGAAGGCCUUCGGGUUGUAAAGCCCUUUUGUUGGGAAAGAAAAGCAGCAGGUUAAUACCCCGCUGUUCUGACGGUACCCAAAGAAUAAGCACCGGCUAACUUCGUG
rnacentral:rRNA from 1 species